CAGCAUAAUCUUAAGUAAAUAUUAGUGUUCCACUUGCGUAAAUACAAACUGCCAUUGAGGGCUAAAGCACUGAGCCUGUCAAAGCCCACACUGAACAGAUUUCCUUGGAAAGGACAGUAAGGGUCAGGAUAAAAGAUACUUUGGUGUUCACUGUGAGUUAGGGGAAGAGCUCUGCUGGAAGGCCAAAUAAGAACUUCAUCCUAGAGCUCUUGGGAAAGAGGGAAGAGAGACGCUGCUGGAUUUCUUGAUGUAUUCCUGAACAAAUAGCUCCUGCUGGCCAUUCUACCCCAUUUCUUGCUGCCUUCUGGUGACUGAUGAGAUGAGGAUGGUGUCCUCCCCCUUUGCAGCCAUUCCAGCUCAGAGAAGAGGGCAAUGUCAUAGUACCCACUGCCAAAACAUCGUUCAGAUUUCUAUGUUAUAGACAGCACUGCCUCCUGUACCUGAGCCAGGAGAGGUGGUUUUCAUUCCCCAUCCAUUCUCUAGGAAUAUAUCUCAUCACAUCUAAGGAAGUAGCAAGAAGAGACACUGUGCUGUUUAUCAAACUACCAUUGAGAUCAGCUGCUGCUCACAGAACUUUUAAUAGGACUAGAUGUUCUGGGAAUGCCAGAUCUUAAGGUUUUUAAGGCACUUAUGAUUCAUAAUCAUAAAAGAUCUUCAGAGCAUUCCAUUUUUCAUUAGGGAACACAAGGUUUCCAAACCCACCAGGCAUAUUAGGUCCCUUUUCAACCCAACAGUGACUACACUGCCUUUGCCUUCCUGUUUUCUUUCACUCUGGCCAAGGACAGCAGAUUUCUACCUCCUGGGUGAGAAGAAGCAUAAGGCACUUCCAAAGAGAGCUGGUAUAUGAUAGAUAGAUCUCAUUUUCCAGGCUAUUUAACAUAGUCUGGCCUUAUUAUCACACCUGCACUUUAUCAGCUGCAUAUGGAUGGUUCUGGUCAGUUUAUCCAUCACAGAGUUGGCUUUUCCUUUGUCAAGAAGUGGAGUGAUAACUUGGAUAUCCCAUUGCCCAUCGCAGAGUGCAUAAUAAAAUACAAAAGCACUGAUUACUGAUGAUGACUUGAAUCUGUAAUCAUGGGAACAACACACAACAUCGUAUUUCCAAUUGAGUUAAGAGGCAUGGCUAGCUGCGGGGGAACACUUGCCAGAAUGGGAUAACACAAACUGCUGACCAAAGCCAAACAUCCCUUGGCUCAGAGGAUUCCCAUCUCCUAGCAUGAGUAGCUAGUCCUUCACGGAGAUCACAGCAUUUCAUCUGCACUAAUGACCAAGUCCUAGUCUGAAGAGGCACUGUUAUUCUUCCCAUUGCAUUCAGGAGACCCUGACUUGAAGGAAAACAAAGCAACAUGCCUGAAGUCAGCCAAGGAGUCAGAGCUACAGGUAGAACCUGCACCUUCCAGUCCCUGGUCCUGUGCUUUCCUGUAAUGCCCUUGUCCCCCAGCAGAGCAGGGCAGGAGGGAAGGCUGGAUCCCGUUAGUGAAGAGAUUCAUCCUCUCAGGGUUUUAUUAGGCCUUAAAGUAUUAGAGCCAUGCUGGCUACAUUUGCCCCAUCAUUACUUUAUCUGAGCAUUCAUUUCAGCCCCUUUUUGUGUCUCAUGCCCUUUUAAAUUGCCCUGCUCUGUGCCAAAACCCUGCUUGUUUCAUAACUGCCAUAAAUUUGACAUAGACAUUAGAUUUCAGAGCAAAGCUUUGUCAGAAGAAGGCUUCUGAAUAUUGCUGGUGACAAGAGAAGAAAUCAGAGUGCAUCUCUGCAGACAAGAUUUGCCUUUCUAUCGGGUGCUUGUAUUAUGGGAUAGCACAGAAGUAAUCAGCUGCUUACCCUUUGACAGAGCUCUUAUCUUCUGACCCCUGUUGCCCACUACAUGGGAGAAUGGCAGUGAAACCCCCCUGGAAAUACCAGAGGACAGAAAAAGCCAAGUCCUCCUUGGCAGCUCAGAGCCUGACAACCCACUUCUCAGCACUCCAUGGGGACCAAGACAUCCCCAAAUGGACAGAGGAGGUAGCUCAUGCUUCACGUUGCCACACAACCAAGCCUACACCUUCCCUGUGACACCCAGCACCUCUCCUGUUCCACUGCAGAGGUGAGGCUGCAUCAGUUGCAGCAGAGCUUUGGGGUGAGCACACAAUGGUUCUUGCCCAGGCUGGGACUUCAGGAUGUGGUUGUGGCCUGAAUUUCAGCCCUGGCCCCCAGGCAAGAUCACUGUGAGUGUAAGGACUCUCACUUCCUUCUUGAUCAAGCCCAAGGAUUAGAAGCAGUCUCAGAACGGAUCCUGUUGCUUGUGAGAAAAGUAGCUCAGAAACAGAGACUUUCCAAGGAUUAGAGUGAAGUGGUCAAUAAGCUCCUAUGAGGAUCAGCAGAAUCUGGAAGGAAAAACCAACCAGAGGAAGGGGAAAAUCAAGCUGGCUCUAGUUCCACAGUGCUAUGGCAUCUGCUGCUGAACAGCUCUAGCACUCAACCAAUUGUAAUGCCAUAGAAGUCCUUCCAGCUCUAUGCCUUUUUGUUAUACUUAUUUCAGGCUAAUAUUACAACUCCAAACCUUUUCCUUAGUAUAGUGCUUAAAUCACACCCAGAAGAGAAAAUUAAUCCAGUUAUACCACCUCAGUUAUACUAUCAGUUAACUGAGCAAAGACAACCUCUGCCCACUUGAGAGGGUCAGGCGUGAUUGUGUUAGACAAAUAGUCUCAUCACAAGUUGAUCAAAAAUGACCACAUUUUCCAGUUCUAGUAAGUCUGUGGCAGAAUCAAGACCACUGCAGCAUAACCUCCUUCUGCCCUGUAUGCCCCUGCUCCCAGCUCUGGUUAGAACAUUGCUCCUUACAGCAACGUGUCUGGUUGACAUCAGGUCCAGGGAUUAUUCUGUGUGGGAUCAUUCUAUGACUCU